rnacentral:rRNA from 1 species
UACGUAGGUGGCAAGCGUUGUCCGGAUUACUGGGCGUAAAGAGCGCGCAGGCGGUCGUGCAAGUCGCGUGUGAAAGCCCCCGGCUCAACUGGGAGGGUCACGCGAUACUGCUCGACUCGAAGGCAGGAGAGGGAAGUGGAAUUCCCGGUGUAGAGGUGAAAUUCGUAGAUAUGGGGAGGAACACCGGUGGCGAAGGCGGCCACCUGGACGGUCACUGACGCUGAGACGCGAAAGCGUGGGUAGCAAACAGG